UCGUUUAAAAGUUGUUUAUUUAAUCUCGUUUAAAAGUUAUUUAUUUAAAACUGCAGCAAAAUAUAGUAAUUUUCGCUGCAAAAACCAUUAUAAAUUAAAUUUUUCAUUAUGUUCUACUUUACAACUAGUUUCAAGGCAUUUACGGCCAACAUUUUUUAUUAUAUAAAUUAUAAAAAAAGAAUAAAUCUGGAGAAGCCUCCAGUUUUUAAAUUUCGAUAACUUUUAACUCGUAUUGUAUAGCCAAAAACUUCUUAAAUAACGAGACGAUUUAGGGAAUAUUCUUCUUUAAAAGGUAUUAAAAAAUUGACUUUUAAAUUUGAUAUUUUUAUUAUAUGAAAUCUAAAAUACAUUUCCUCCUCAAAUGUUUUGCCGAUAUUUGAUCAUUUGACGAAGUUAUAGAUGAAAAAGCUAGCAGCGCUUAUAAUAGGUCAAAAUCGAAGCGCUUAAUGUCAUACAGUUAAUUAUCGUAUAUAUUUGAAUGAGAAGGAAGUUAAUAUGGAAAUUAUUAUCACGCUAUUAUAGUCUGUUUAAAUUAGACUGUUGUUGAAUGUUAAUUAUAUUAUGCUGUUCAUACUUAUUUUUACACUUAUUGUUUUGACUUGUACAUUGCGUGGGACAAGACUCGAGAUAUAAAGUAUCGUUCAAAGUGACUCUUAAAUUAGUUUGUCGCUGAACUUUGAACAACAUAUAUUACGUGUCAUUGCAAUCUUGAAAAUAUUUUAUAAAUGAGGUAAUGGAAGGAAAACUGGACUGCAAGGAGAAGAUAUUCAUUGACAAAAAAAGGACGAAAUUCAUUUACAAGCAACACAGCGUGCGCUGCAAGCGACGAAGAAAGCCAAAACGACAAAUUUCUUGGAAACUAUUAGGAAAAUCGUCAUCAAUUUUUUCGCAAGUACAUUAUAUGUAUUUUUUCGUUGGAACUAUUAUGGAAUCAUUAUUAUGUACUCAUUAUUUCUGUUUAUAAAAAAAAUAAUUAUAAGAUUUUUAAAAUAUAAAAAAAUGUUUACAAAAGUUACUAUUCUGUCAAACUUAGAGAUAUUUUAUUUAAUUCCAAUUCCAACAAUAGCAACGCUUCUCUUGAAUAAAAAAAGUUUUAAGUUUUUUUAUUUCAGAUGUCCAAAAGAGACAUUUAUCCCAUUACCUCUAUGUAUUUUUUUUAUAAGCUAUUUUAAUGAUCAGUAUAUAACAUGCGAAAAAGUAGCACAUUUUAAAUUUCAAAAAUAUUAAAAUAUUUGACAAUAGUAAUAAAAAAGUAUGCAAAGUUUGAUAUUAAUUGUUGGCCUCCCUAAAAAUAUUCCCAGAAAAAAAAACACCUUUUUGGAUCCUUUAAAAUAGAAUACUCCCUUAAUAGCGAAACGAUUUAAUAGUCGGUUUAAUUAGGUCGGUAAAGUAUCGAGUUUUCAAACGUCAGACAACAGAAAUGAAUUUCACUUCACUUCCAA